GACAGAGGGUGCAAACGUUGUUCGGAAUUACUGGGCGUAAAGCGCGUGUAGGCUGCUUGGAAAGUCGGGUGUGAAAGCCCUGGGCUCAACCCAGGAAGUGCACUCGAAACUUCCGAGCUCGAGUUCUGGAGAGGAUAGCGGAAUUCUCGGUGUAGAGGUGAAAUUCGUAGAUAUCGAGAGGAACACCGGUGGCGAAGGCGGCUAUCUGGACAGAAACUGACGCUGAGACGCGAAAGCGUGGGGAGCAAACAGGG
rnacentral:rRNA from 1 species